rnacentral:rRNA from 1 species
UGGGGAAUAUUGCACAAUGGGCGCAAGCCUGAUGCAGCCAUGCCGCGUGUAUGAAGAAGGCCUUCGGGUUGUAAAGUACUUUCAGCGGGGAGGAAGGGAGUAAAGUUAAUACCUUUGCUCAUUGACGUUACCCGCAGAAGAAGCACCGGCUAACUCCGUGCCAGCAGCCGCGGUAAUACGGAGGGUGCAAGCGUUAAUCGGAAUUACUGGGCGUAAAGCGCACGCAGGCGGUUUGUUAAGUCAGAUGUGAAAUCCCCGGGCUCAACCUGGGAACUGCAUCUGAUACUGGCAAGCUGGGGUCUCGUAGAGGGGGGUAGAAUUCCAGGUGUAGCGGUGAGAUGCGUAGAGAUCUGGAGGAAUACCGGUGGCGAAGGCGGCCCCCUGGACGAAGACUGACGCUCAGGUGCGAAAGCGUGGGGAGCAAACAGG